rnacentral:rRNA from 1 species
CACGUAGGGCGCGAGCGUUGUCCGGAAUUAUUGGGCGUAAAGAGCUCGUAGGCGGCCUGUUGCGUCCGCUGUGAAAGCCCGGGGCUUAACCCCGGGUCGGCAGUGGAUACGGGCAGGCUAGAGGUAGGUAGGGGAGAAUGGAAUUCCCGGUGUAGCGGUGAAAUGCGCAGAUAUCUGGAGGAACACCGGUGGCGAAGGCGGCAUCCUGGACCAACACUGACACUGAGGAGCGAAAGCCAGGGGAGCAAACGGG